UCUGCCCAGUGCUCUGAAUGUCA
rnacentral:ncRNA from 4 species